AUUGAACGCUGGCGGCAUGCCUUACACAUGCAAGUCGAACGGCAGCGGGGGAGAAGCUUGCUUUUCCUGCCGGCGAGUGGCGAACGGGUGAGUAAUAUAUCGGAACGUGCCCUAGAGUGGGGGAUAACUAGUCGAAAGACUAGCUAAUACCGCAUACGAUCUACGGAUGAAAGUGGGGGAUAGCAAGACCUCAUGCUCCUGGAGCGGCCGAUAGCUGAUUAGCUAGGUGGUGGGGUAAAAGCCUACCAAGGCAACGAUCAGUAGCUGGUCUGAGAGGACGACCAGCCACACUGGGACUGAGACACGGCCCAGACUCCUACGGGAGGCAGCAGUGGGGAAUUUUGGACAAUGGGGGCAACCCUGAUCCAGCAAUGCCGCGUGAGUGAAGAAGGCCUUCGGGUUGUAAAGCUCUUUUGUCAGGGAAGAAACGGUAGUAGCGAAUAACUACUACUAAUGACGGUACCUGAAGAAUAAGCACCGGCUAACUACGUGCCAGCAGCCGCCGUAA
rnacentral:rRNA from 1 species